rnacentral:rRNA from 1 species
GACAGAGGGUGCAAACGUUGUUCGGAAUUACUGGGCGUAAAGCGUGUGUAGGCGGUCUCGUAAGUCAGGUGUGAAAGCCCGGGGCUCAACCCCGGAAGUGCACUUGAUACUGCUUGACUUGAGUACUGGAGAGGUUGGUGGAAUUCUCGGUGUAGAGGUGAAAUUCGUAGAUAUCGAGAGGAACACCGGUGGCGAAGGCGGCCAACUGGACAGAUACUGACGCUGAGACACGAAAGCGUGGGGAGCAAACAGG